rnacentral:snoRNA from 1 species
UGCUUGCUGAUUAUAGCUAAUUACAUUGGCAAUAUAUGCUAUGCUCACUUUGUUUUGAUGAAAAGUUGGAUAUGAGAGCU